AAUGAACGCUUGCAAUAUACUUAACACAUGCUAGUUGAAUGUGUUAAUUACACUUAGCGAACAGGUGAGUAGCACAUGAGAACUUACCAUUAAAGUUUAGUAUAAUCGUAUUUCUCGAUAGAAAGAGUGUAAUUAACGAAAAAACUCAAGUAAAAAACUCUUUUUUGAAAGGCUCAUGCGAGAUCAGGUUGUUGGUUCAAUAAGAGUAGAACCAAGCCAAUAACCUCUAACUGGUUUGAAAGAAUGUACAGUCACAUCGAGACUGAGAUAAGGCUCGAGCUUUCGCCAGCAGUGGGGAAUUUUGGACAAUAAGCGAAAGCUUGAUCCAGUGAUAUUGCGUGGAUGAGGAAAGCAAAAAAGAUUUUUUUAAUCGGUCGUAAAGUCCUAUCACUAAUGAAGAUUAUGACUUUAGUUUGAGAAGAAGCCCCGACUAACCUCGUGCCAGCAGUCGCGGUAAUACGAGGGGGGCAAGCGUUAUUCAGAAUGAUUUGGUGUAAAGAGUUUGUAGAUUGUGGCUUUAGGUUAUUAGUAAAAAACUAUGUUUAUUGCUUAGAAAUACUGAUAACACUUAGUCGCUUGAGUAAGAUAGGGGUUAAUAGAAUUUUGUAUAUAGGGGUAAAAUCCAAUCAUUUACAAAGGAAUGCCAGUAGCGAAGGCGGUUUUCCGGGUUUUUUACUGACAUUGAGGAACGAAAGCGUAGGUAGCAAACGAGAUUUGAGACCUCGGUAGUCUACGCUGUCAAAUAUGAUUGUUAAUGGUAGGAGUCUUUUCUGUCAUAAAGUUAACACGUUAAACAAUCCACCUGGGGAGUAUAGUCGCAAGAUUGGAACUCAAAGAAAUUGACGGGGGUCUACACAAAUGGUGGAGUAUGUGAUUUAAUGCGAUAAUACGCGCAAAACCUUACCAGUUCUUGAAUAUAUGAAAUUGGACAUUUAAUCAUUUACAUUUUUUUUAAGCAAAAAUACUAAUUGCUUGAUAAUAAGCAUAUACAGGUGUUGCAUGGCUGUCGUCAGCUCGUGCUGUGAAGUGUUAGGUUAAUUCCUUUAACGGGCGCAACUCUUGCUUUAUUUUGGUAGUGUUUAAAUCAAUUUGAAACAACAACUUUUAGAGAACAGCUAAUGAUAAAUUAGAGGAGGCUGAGAAUGACGUCAAGCCCUUAUGGCCUUUAUGAGCUGGGCUAUACACGUGCAACAUUAUUAAUUACAAAAAGUUAUACUAGAAGGUAACUUUAAGUAAAUCUUUAAAAAUUAAUGUGUUCGAAUUGAAGACUGUAACUCGUCUUCAUGAAGUUGGAAUCAUAAUUAAUCGUAAAUCAGCACGUUACGGUGAAUUUGUACUUAGAUCUUGCACACACCGCCCGUCACACGCUAGGAUUGAGUUUCGAUUGAAGAAGUUUUAAUAAAUAAAAGACUUCAAAGUCUCUAACAAUUGAUAAUAUUUUAGUUUUUUCGUUUAUAUUUAGUCAUGCUCCUAUUUUGGAAUUCGAGACUGGGGUG
rnacentral:rRNA from 1 species